UAAUACAGAGGGUGCGAACGUUGCUCGGAAUUACUGGGCGUAAAGCGCGUGUAGGCGGAACGAUAAGUCGGAAGUGAAAUCCCCGGGCUCAACCCGGGAACUGCUUUCGAAACUGCCGUUCUCGAGUACCGGAGAGGGUGGCGGAAUUCCUGGUGUAGAGGUGAAAUUCGUAGAUAUCAGGAGGAACACCGGUGGCGAAGGCGGCCACCUGGACGGUCACUGACGCUGAGACGCGAAAGCGUGGGGAGCAAACAG
rnacentral:rRNA from 1 species